rnacentral:rRNA from 1 species
UCGAGAAUCAUUCACAAUGGGCGCAAGCCUGAUGGUGCUACGCCGCGUGGGGGAAGAAGGGCUUCGGUUCGUAAACCCCUGUCAUCUGUGAGUAAGACUCCCAAUAAAAGCUUGGGAGGUUGAUAUUAGCAGAAGAGGAAGGGACGGCUAACUCUGUGCCAGCAGCCGCGGUAAUACAGAGGUCCCAAGCGUUGUUCGGAUUUACUGGGCGUAAAGGGUGCGUAGGCGGCUAGGAAAGUUUGAUGUGAAAUCUCCGGGCUUAACCCGGAAACUGCAUUGAAAACUAUCUGGCUAGAGGAUCGGAGAGGAGAUUGGAAUUCUCGGUGUAGCAGUGAAAUGCGUAGAUAUCGAGAGGAACACCAGUUGCGAAGGCGGAUCUCUGGACGGUUUCUGACGCUGAGGCACGAAAGCUGGGGUAGCGAAGAGG